GGUUCUGAAGCUAUAACCUUGUGUUCUCUCUUGCCACCAAGUUCCUUGGCUUCUGUUAGGGCAAGAACAGGAACUGAGUGUUGCUCUCUGACACUGCUCACUGUCAGCUUCCUUCUCUGAUAUUUGAUUUCCAUACUUUCCCCCAAACGAUCUUUGGUAAUAAGGAUUUGGCUGCAACACCCUUCAAUGCUAAUCCACUUAAUGGUUUCCAUGAUGAUUAGAAUCCAGUUUGUACUGCUGAGUCAUGGUGCACAACGCCCAGAGUCUCUGUUCUGUUUCCAGCUUUGAGCCUUAUGUUUGUUCUCCCUCUCUCCUCUUCUCUUCUCAUUCUGCAAAAAUAGUUUCUACACUCCAUACAUCUUUAGUUUAACUGCAGAUUCUGGAAUGUCCCACAAACAUGCUGCAUGCAUGUUUACCGUGGUGGGUUUGGUGAGGCGCUGUUUUUCCUAGCUUCUUCCUGGCAUGCAAACCACAUACUCCAUUCUUCAGGGCUCAGCUGGAGGCACUGUUCCAAAAGAGGACCUUGAUUCUUCACUUACAACUACUGGGCUGUCGGAGGUAUUCCAUGGUGAUUUCAGAGGAUCUCUUCUCUAAACAUUCCUGUCCCGAGGUUCCUGUCUUGAGUUCCCUGCUUUGAUGUUCUUCAAUGAUGGACAUAAUCCAUGACUCAAAUAAACUUCUCUCCUCCAAAUUGCCUUACGUCAGACUUUUAUCACAUCCACAGAGAACUAGAGUGGGACAUCUAGGAUACAAAGUGCCCUCUUAGUUCCCAAGGAUUCUGCAUCAGCUGCCAGCCACCGCGAAUAAAAGAGUAAUGAAAACUGGAAGUUCCCGUUUUGUGCCCUAGUGAAUAAAUGAUACCAAACAUUCUGA